rnacentral:rRNA from 1 species
AACGAACGCUAGCGGCAUGCCUAACACAUGCAAGUCGAACGAAGCCUUCGGGCUUAGUGGCGCACGGGUGCGUAACGCGUGGGAAUCUGCCCUUUGGUUCGGAAUAACAGUUGGAAACGACUGCUAAUACCGGAUGAUGACGAAAGUCCAAAGAUUUAUCGCCAGAGGAUGAGCCCGCGUAGGAUUAGCUAGUUGGGGUGGUAAAGGCGCACCAAGGCGACGAUCCUUAGCUGGUCUGAGAGGAUGAUCAGCCACACUGGGACUGGGACACGGCCCAGACUCCUACGGGAGGCAGCAGUGGGGAAUAUUGGACAAUGGGCGAAAGCCUGAUCCAGCAAUGCCGCGUGAGUGAUGAAGGCCCUAGGGUUGUAAAGCUCUUUUACCCGGGAUGAUAAUGACAGUACCGGGAGAAUAAGCCCCGGCUAACUCCGUGCCAGCCGCCGCCGUAA